GACGAACGCUGGCGGCGUGCUUAACACAUGCAAGUCGAACGGAAAGGCCCUGCUUUUGUGGGGUGCUCGAGUGGCGAACGGGUGAGUAACACGUGAGUAACCUGCCCUUGACUUUGGGAUAACUUCAGGAAACUGGGGCUAAUACCGGAUAGGAGCUCCUGCUGCAUGGUGGGGGUUGGAAAGUUUCGGCGGUUGGGGAUGGACUCGCGGCUUAUCAGCUUGUUGGUGGGGUAGUGGCUUACCAAGGCUUUGACGGGUAGCCGGCCUGAGAGGGUGACCGGCCACAUUAGGACUGAGAUACGGCCCAGACUCCUACGGGAGGCAGCAGUGGGGAAUAUUGCACAAUGGGCGGAAGCCUGAUGCAGCGACGCCGCGUGCGGGAUGACGGCCUUCGGGUUGUAAACCGCUUUCGCCUGUGACGAAGCGUGAGUGACGGUAAUGGGUAAAGAAGCACCGGCUAACUACGUG
rnacentral:rRNA from 1 species